rnacentral:rRNA from 1 species
GAGACCCACGCCAACAGUUGCCAGCAUGUCCUCCGGGAUGGUGGGGACACUGUUGGGACCGCCUCUGCUAAAGAGGAGGAAGGAAUGGGCAACGGUAGGUCAGCAUGCCCCGAAUUAUCCGGGCUACACGCGGGCUACGAUGGUCAGGACAAUGGGUAUCGACACCGAGAGGUGAAGGCAAUCUCUUAAACCUGUCCUUAGUUCGGAUUGUGGGCUGCAACUCGCCCACAUGAAGCUGGAAUCCGUAGUAAUCGCGUCUCAAAAUGGCGCGGUGAAUAU